rnacentral:rRNA from 1 species
GACGAACGCUGGCGGCGUGCUUAACACAUGCAAGUCGAACGGAAAGGCCCGGCGUUUGUGGGGUGCUCGAGUGGCGAACGGGUGAGUAACACGUGAGUAACCUGCCCUUGACUUUGGGAUAACUUCAGGAAACUGGGGCUAUUACCGGAUAGGAGCUCCUGCUGCAUGGUGGGGGUUGGAAAGUUUCGGCGGUGGGGGAUGGAAUCGCGGCUUAUGAGCUGGUUGGUGAGGUAGUGGCUUACCAAGGCAACGACGGGUAGCCGACCUGAGAGGGUGACCGGCCACACUGGAACUGGGACACGGUCCAGACUCCUACGGGAGGCAGCAGUAGGGAAUCUUCCGCAAUGGGCGAACGCCUGACGGAGCAACGCCGCGUGAGUGAUGAAGGUCUUCGGAUCGUAAAACUCUGUUAUUAGGGAAGAACAUAUGUGUAAGUAACUGUGCACAUCUUGACGGUACCUAAUCAGAAAGCCACGGCUAACUACGUG